rnacentral:pre_miRNA from 1 species
CAACUACUCCCUCUGUCCCAAAUUUCUUGUCUUAGAUUUGUUUAGAUACAGAUGUAUCUAAUACUAAAAUGUGACUUGAUACAUCUGUAUCUAGAAAAAUCUAAGACAAGAAUUUUGGGACGGAGGGAGUACUUU